rnacentral:tRNA from 1 species
GGAGGGUUGUCCGAGUUGGCUGAAGGAGCGCGACUGGAAAUCGCGUGUGCCCCAUAAGGGUACCGAGAGUUCGAAUCUCUUGCCCUCCGCCA